UGCAAUUUUGUUUGAUUUCCUCCAAUAUCUCACUUUCAACUGCUCAAUUGUUCCAUUAUCAAGAACUCAUAUUAUGCGCGAUGGUAUUGAAUGUGAGAAUUGGGGGAAAGUGAAGCUAUGCAU
rnacentral:pre_miRNA from 1 species